rnacentral:lncRNA from 13 species
GGCCGAGGCGGGUGGAUCCCGAGGUCAAGAGAUUGGGACCAUCCUGGUCACCAUGGUGAAACCCCGUCUCUACUAAAAAUACAAAAAAUUAGCUGGGCGUGGUGGCGCACGCCUGUAAUCCCAGCUACUCAGGAGGCUGAGGCAGGAGAAUUGCCUGAACCCAGGAGGCAGAGGUUGCGGUGAGCCGAGAUCACGCCAUUCCACUCCAGCCUGGGUAACAAGCGUGAAACUCCGUCUCAAAAAAAAAAAAAGCUGAGAGCUUUCUCUGGCUAGAAGCAAAAGUGAGAUUUAGCAGAAAGUGAAGUGAGAUAGAUUACAAUCAUAAGAAGAAUUUCCCAUGAUGUUGCUGGCUCUAGGCAAUAGGGGCCCAUGAGCAAGAGCUGGAGAGAGGCCUUACUAGGAGGAACCCCAGCUAGGAGCAGCCAGCAAGUAAAGGAGGACCUCAGAACUUCAGCUGCAAACAACCGCAGAUUCUUCUGAGUCCACUGUUGAGAAACCAGCCAGCCAGCAAUUUGAUUUGGGCCUCUGUAACCAGAGCAGAAAAAUUGGCUGAGCCAAUCCAGACUUCUGACCUACAGAACUAUGAGGAAACAAAGCUUGGAAUAUUGCCAAACAACAAAGCCAGACAUCUCGGCCACGUUCUCUAGCAAAAGAGAUUUCAUGGAGAGCUUACUUCCUCAAGUUCACUUUGGUCUUAAUGAAGGUGAAGUCUCAUGAGUGGAACCUAGAUUAUCUACCUGUGCUUUUAACUGCAAAAUAGCCUGUUGAGAUGACUAAAGUAUACUGGCACACAGAAAGGAGAACACAACUAAUUGCAAUCUCUGAUUACAAAAGACAGUGCAAUGGGAAAGUAUUUUAUGAAAAGAGUUCUUAAUAAAAUACAUUUUAUAUGUUCUAUCUAUAUAAAA